rnacentral:rRNA from 1 species
GAUGAACGCUGGCGGCGUGCCUAACACAUGCAAGUCGAACGGAGUUCUUAAGGAAUGCGACUUCGGUCAAAUGACUUUUGAACUUAGUGGCGGACGGGUGAGUAACGCGUGAGCAACCUGCCUUUCAGAGGGGGAUAACAUUUGGAAACAGAUGCUAAUACCGCAUAAGCCCACAGCUCGGCAUCGAGCAGAGGGAAAAGGAGCAAUCCGCUUUGAGAUGGCCUCGCGUCCGAUUAGCUAGUUGGUGAGGUAAUGGCCCACCAAGGCGACGAUCGGUAGCCGGACUGAGAGGUUGAACGGCCACAUUGGGACUGAGACACGGCCCAGACUCCUACGGGAGGCAGCAGUGGGGGAAUAAUUGCGACAAUGGGGGGAAACCCUGGAUGCAGCGACGCCGCGUGAGUGAAGAAGUAUUCGGUAUGUAAAGC